GCUAAUACCGCAUACGAUCUAAUCUCGGCAUCGAGGAUAGAUGAAAGGUGGCCUCUACACGUAAGCUAUCACUGAAGGAGGGGAUUGCGUCUGAUUAGCUAGUUGGAGGGGUAACGGCCCACCAAGGCGAUGAUCAGUAGCCGGUCUGAGAGGAUGAACGGCCACAUUGGGACUGAGACACGGUCCAGACUCCUACGGGAGGCAGCAUG
rnacentral:rRNA from 1 species